UACGUAGGGUGCAAGCGUUGUUCGGAAUUAUUGGGCGUAAAGAGCUCGUAGGCGGUCUGUCACGUCGGCUGUGAAAUCCCGAGGCUCAACCUCGGGUCUGCAGUCGAUACGGGCAAACUAGAGUAUUGCAGGGGAGACUGGAAUUCCUGGUGUAGCGGUGAAAUGCGCAGAUGUCAGGAGGAACACCGGUGGCGAAGGCGGGUCUCUGGGCAAUAACUGACGCUGAGGAGCGAAAGCGUGGGGAGCGAACAGG
rnacentral:rRNA from 1 species